UACGGAGGGUGCGGGCGUUGUCCGGAAUCACUGGGCGUAAAGGGCGCGUAGGUGGCGCGACAAGUCAACGGUGAAAGCUCGGCGCUCAACGCCGAGUCGGCCGUCGAUACUGUCGGGCUGGAGCACUGUAGAGGCAGAUGGAAUUCCGGGUGUAGCGGUGGAAUGCGUAGAGAUCCGGAAGAACACCGGUGGCGAAGGCGGUCUGCUGGGCAGUAGCUGACACUGAGGCGCGACAGCGUGGGGAGCAAACAGG
rnacentral:rRNA from 1 species